AAUUACCACCGAGCGGCGGGUA
rnacentral:snRNA from 1 species